AGGUGCUGCAGUGGCUGUCGUCAGCUCGUGUCGUGAGAUGUUGGGUUAACGUCCCGUAACGAGCGCAACCCUUGUCCUUAGUUACCAGCACGUUAUGGUGGGCACUCUAAGGAGACUGCCGGUGACAAACCGGAGGAAGGUGGGGAUGACGUCAAGUCAUCAUGGCCCUUACGGCCUGGGCUACACACGUGCUACAAUGGUCGGUACAAAGGGUUGCCAAGCCGCGAGGUGGAGCUAAUCCCAUAAAACCGAUCGUAGUCCGGAUCGCAGUCUGCAACUCGACUGCGUGAAGUCGGAAUCGCUAGUAAUCGUGAAUCAGAAUGUCACGGUGAAUACGUUCCCGGGCCUU
rnacentral:rRNA from 1 species